AUUGAACGCUGGCGGCAUGCCUAACACAUGCAAGUCGAACGCGAAAGGGGGCAACCCUGAGUAGAGUGGCGGACGGGUGAGUAACGCAUCGGAAUUUACCCUGUCGUGGGGGAUAACCAAGGGAAACUUUGGCUAAUACCGCAUGAUCUGGUGACAGCAAAGCGGGGGACCGUGCAAGGGCCUCGCGCGAUGGGAUGAGCCGAUGUCUGAUUAGCUAGUUGGUAGGGUAAAGGCCUACCAAGGCGACGAUCAGUAGCUGGUCUGAGAGGAUGAUCAGCCACACUGGGACUGAGACACGGCCCAGACUCCUACGGGAGGCAGCAGUGGGGAAUAUUGGACAAUGGGCGCAAGCCUGAUCCAGCGAUGCCGCGUGUGUGAAGAAGGCCUGCGGGUUGUAAAGCACUUUCAGUAGGGAAGAAAGACCGAGUGCUAAUAUCAUUCGGUCUUGACGUUACUUACAGAAGAAGCACCGGCUAACUCCGU
rnacentral:rRNA from 1 species